AUUAAAAUUAUUUCUAUUUCUGUUAAAAAGAAUUAUUUUAUGACAAAACAAUUGUUAAACUGUUUUGAAACACAAAAACAAUUACAAUAUAGAAUUACAUACCAUUUCAGCUUGAAUUGAACAACAAAAAGACUUUCGUGUUUACAGAAGAAAUUUCUAUGUUUUUAAAUUUUCGCGCACAAAAGGACCACCAGUUGAAAAAUAUUAACAUAACAAAAAUAAAAUUCUGAUCAAUGAAAUUUCGAAAAUCGAGUAGGCAGCUGUUCCCCGUUGAGUGUUGGCCGAAGUGUAUGGAGGCUGUUUAUGGAGAUGUCGUCAUUUA